rnacentral:tRNA from 2 species
GGGCGGUUAGCUCAGUUGGUUAGAGCGCAGCGUUGACAUCGCUGAGGUCAGAGGUUCAAAUCCUCUAUCGCCCACCA